UGACGCUUCUCUUCGAGGACGAGGAAGGGGCUGCACCGCCGUCUGCGAACCAGUAGGUAAACCGGUAUCUGUGCCAGCUCUGCGUACCCGUUGGUGGCUUUUGCGGUGGUGAUCGUGCCUCGGACACAGCAUACUACUGUAACCAGAGUACUCUCAAUCCUGCCAAGUCGCUGCACACACUUUACAAAACCUAAAGUGUCACGCCGAGCGCAGGAGGAUCGUCUUGAAUUGACAGUUGAAAAUAAAGUGUUAUACUUAAUAUUUUAAAUAUGGAACCAGCAAAGUCCUCAAUCAUAUUUCAUACUACGAAAGGGGAUUAUUCUAUGGAGGAAUUAAUGGCCGCGUCGACAAAAAUGCUUGAAAAAUUUAAUAUCGAUUACAAAAAUAAAGGCAGAGAACAGGCUCAAAAAGAAGGUGAGGAGGAAUUGAAGAAAAAAUAUUGCAUAGAUGAAAUCUGUGAUACAUUACUACGUAACUCCUAUUAUUGUAUGUUAUUCAACAUGAAACUUCGCAAAGGUCGUCUAGAAAACGAAGAAGAAUCGCAAACCAUGAAACGCUUCGAAGAAAAACCUGCUGCAAUUUAUAUUGUCGAUACAGAAGAUUGGGAUAAUAUUCGUCUUUCAAUGGAAAAAGAUAAAAUUUGUUAUACUUCAGCCAAAAAAGUGAAAGGCGAAAUAGAAAUCAGGGUAACGAAUAGUCUUCAACAUCUCAAAGUGCUCAGUUACUUUUUACAAAAAGGAAUUGAACACAAAACAUUUUUAUCAAGAUUUACACAAGAAUUACCGGAGUAUAUGCAGGAGAUGCGACGAAGAAAAAACAAAGCCCAGCGUGAUUGUCAGAGGUAUCCAUCCCACGAAAACAAACGCUUAUUCAAUCAACUUGCUCGAGAUUAUAAACGAGAAUUAGCAAAUCUUAGAUUUAAUGAAUAUGAAAAUGAUAAAUCCUCUAUUUUAAACAAUAAUUAAAGUGUCUUUGGAACUAGCUCUAAGGGUCGGUUGCACCAACUUACUUAAC